rnacentral:rRNA from 1 species
GACGAACGCUGGCGGCGUGCUUAACACAUGCAAGUCGAGCGGUAAGGCCUCUUCGGGGGUACACGAGCGGCGAACGGGUGAGUAAGACGCGGGUGACCUGCCCUCAGCUCUGGGAUAAGCCUGGGCAACUGGGCCUAAUAACGGCUAUGACCUUUCCUCGCCUGGGGUUUGGUGGAAAGUUUUUUCGGCUGGGGAUGGGCCCUCGGCCUAUCAGCUGGUUGGUGGGGUGGUGACCUACCAAGGCGAGGACGGGUAGCCGGCCUGGGAGGGCGACCGGCCACACUGUGACAGAGGCACGGCCCAGACUCCUGCGGGAGGCAGUAGGGGGGAAUCUUGCGCAACGGGCGGCAGCCUGACGCAGCGAGGCCGCGUGGUGGAUGACGGCCUUCGGGUUGCAAACCUCUUUCGACCCCGACGAAUUUUGACGGUAGGGGUAGAAGAAGCACCGGCCAACUACGUG